rnacentral:rRNA from 1 species
GUAGGGGGCAAGCGUUAUCCGGAUUUACUGGGUGUAAAGGGGGCGCAGACGGCGAUGCAAGCCAGGAGUGAAAGCCCGGGGCCCAACCCCGGGACUGCUCUUGGAACUGCGUGGCUGGAGUGCAGGAGGGGCAGGCGGAAUUCCUGGUGUAGCGGUGAAAUGCGUAGAUAUCAAGAGGAACACCGGUGGCGAAGGCGGCCUGCUGGACUGCAACUGACGUUGAGGCCCGAAAGCGUGGGGAGCAAACAGGAUUAGAUACCCUGGUAGUCCACGCCGUAAACGAUGAUUACUAGGUGUCGGGGAGCAGAGACUGCCCGGUGCCGCAGCCAACGCAUUAAGUAAUCCACCUGGGGAGUACGUUCGCAAGAAUG